AUACGUAGGGGGCGAGCGUUGUCCGGAAUGAUUGGGCGUAAAGGGCGCGUAGGCGGCCCGGUAAGUCUGGAGUGAAAGUCCUGUUUUUAAGAUGGGAAUUGCUUUGGAUACUGUCGGGCUUGAGUGCAGGAGAAGUAAGUGGAAUUCCCAGUGUAGCGGUGAAAUGCGUAGAGAUUGGGAGGAACACCAGUGGCGAAGGCGACUUACUGGACUGUAACUGACGCUGAGGCGCGAAAGUGUGGGGAGCAAACAGGAUUAGAUACCCUGGUAGUCCACACUGUAAACGAUGAAUGCUAGGUGUAGGGGGUAUCGACCCCUUCUGUGCCGCAGUCAACACAAUAAGCAUUCCGCCUGGGGAGUACGGCCGCAAGGUUGAAACUCAAAGGAAUUGACGGGG
rnacentral:rRNA from 1 species